UAAAUUUUUAGAAGUACUUGAGUGUACUCUUUUCAGUUCAACCAUUCCAAGUAUUCUAGUUUCAAUUUUGUCAUUUUCUACAAAUUGUGCAAAAAAAUAUUUCUAAACAAUCUUGUGGCACUGCCAAUUUUUAAAAAGAUUAAUUUGUUUGCACAUUCUCUGCAUAUUUCUGACAAAGUCUGUUUGCACUUUUCGGUAUUUAGAGAAAAUUUUUUCCCAUUCUCAUUCUCAAUUCCUUUGCAGAUAGGAUCUAUUAUGUUCCGCAUGUGCUGCGAUUGUGCUGUGCUUCAUCGGUCACUAAACCUAUGUACGAUUUAAACAGCUGUUUUUUGCUGUAAGGGGUGUACUUGCCUUGUUUUUGUUUCCUCCGCAUAUAUUCUCUCUGAUUCCUGACGGUAAUUAUAGGAAACUGACAGCGCCACCUUCAUGUGAUAAUCCAAUAAGAUCGACGUUAUUGAGUUCGGCAUCAUCAUUAUCAUCUUAUUAUUUGGCUUGUUAAUUUAUUCUCUCCGUGCCAUAUUGUACAAUGGUGAGUUUAUUAUAUUGAUUGAUUUGAAAUAAUAGGAAAUUAUGAGAAUUCGUCUUUUUAUUACUUUUAUUGAAUUUGGCACCCACCACUGAGAAAUUCAGAGCAGAGUCAUAAAAAACUGGUCUUUUUCCUUCCUAUUAUAUGUUAUUUCCUUGUAUGUUCGCAUCAAGCUGACAGCCCUAAAAAUUUACACCAAAGAGGCCACGUGUAACAGAGUAGCUCCUCCAGAAAAAAAAAAACAAAUUACCGGCAAAUAAAAACAAACUGGGGAUUUAAACUGGUUUUGUUAACAAUUUCAAUCCGGAGUUAUUAGAAACAUAAGCUCGACUCAAAAGCUUGAUCAAAAUCUAGCAAAGUUGGUGAUGUUGGACAAGGUUGCUUAUCAAAUAUUGCUUAAUGUGCCAAAGUAAACUAUAGAAGAUUGGACAACAUCUGAAAAUCGUCUCAGCUAUAAAAAACCUUGCUUAAAUUACCGAAUCUUUGCUGAAAAAAUAGUUCGAACGCGUCAACCAGCAACAGUGUGUUCAAUUUCACGUAAAAAGUGUUAAUUAUUCGUUUUUCUAGUCCAACACAAAUUGGCAUGUUUUUUGCAAACCAGUAAAGAAUUCAUCAAUUGUGACUAAAUUUUGCGUAAUUUAAGAUUAGUCGCCGAGUGAAAAAUAUCUAAUCUUAACUUUUGCACUAGCCCUAAGAAGAAAAAGUUCCAAACUAAUUUCGUAUUUUCCUGUAACACUAUAGUGCUAUUAUUAGUCCUUCUACCCUAAUAUUAAAUCUAAAAAAGAUAAAAUUUCAUUAAAGCAGGGGUGAACUUUUAAGCAAGGGUGUACAUUUUUUUUCUUUUCGAUAUACCCAUUUAUACUUUACCAAGCUACCAACAGACCUUAGGAACAAACAAUUGCACAUAAAUCUUACUAACAUUAUGUAUGUAAGAAUCUUACAUUCAUGUUCUUGGUAACCUUUCUGCAUUGUGCGUGCCGAUCAGCCUCGGUUAAAAGUGUAGUGUGUACCAAGAGAGAAUUAUGUUAUCAUUAAUACUGGUUGCUUUACAGAUGUCAUGCUGCCCUAUGUUGUACUCGAAUCAAAGAACAAUUAUAAUUACGCUCUUUUAACAGUCAUCUUUACGUCAGCUGCUUAAAGCGCCCACCGAAAGAUCUUUUGCCGUUGGAGCUCUGAAUAAUUAGCAAGUAAUACGUAAUUUCUUUCUUUUUAUGAAAUUUAUUUUCUUUGCAGGUAAUUUGUUUUCAGGUUAUUUCCCUCUUUUCAGGAAAUUUCUUUUCAGCAUUUUUUUUUCUUUUCAGGAAAUUUCUGGCGGCUGAUAAAGAUAAUUUUGGCUUUAUCUGGAGGCGGUUCUUCCCAAUGUGAAAAGUCAAACAAGGCAUAUCGGGCCCGUACAAAUAUUCGGCGAACAAGGACAAAACAACGUUCCUAACACUGGCUUGAGCUCAACCCUGAGUGAAAUUCUGUACCCAAUGUCGUAAGUAGACUCUAAUCUUAAACUGCUUGUUUUCCUUUCAACUAACUUUUACUAUUGUCUUGCUAUGCAAUUUUCGUGGAAUCUAAUUGGCUUGCUGUGCGUCCGUCCCUCUGUCCAAGUUGAAGGGUACAAAGUCUAUGGGAAUUACCAGGGCUUGCCAGAGUGACAAAGCUGCAAAUCUGCGCCCCCACGUUGGACUGGAUGGUGUUAGAGUGGCUCCCGAGGUUAAUUUUAAGAUGGUUUCCAAGUUUGUGUUUAAAUUUUUAAACUUUGUUUAAGUUAAGUUGUUUAAUUAAUUGUUUUUAAUUUUUUUUAACUCCUUUUAUUUUAAGUUUUAAAGCAAAACGAAAAUUUAAUAAA